rnacentral:rRNA from 1 species
UGGGGAAUUUUGGACAAUGGGCGAAAGCCUGAUCCAGCAAUGCCGCGUGUGUGAAGAAGGCCUUCGGGUUGUAAAGCACUUUUGUCCGGAAAGAAAUCCUUGGCUCUAAUACAGUCGGGGGAUGACGGUACCGGAAGAAUAAGCACCGGCUAACUACGUGCCAGCAGCCGCGGUAAUACGUAGGGUGCAAGCGUUAAUCGGAAUUACUGGGCGUAAAGCGUGCGCAGGCGGUUUGCUAAGACCGAUGUGAAAUCCCCGGGCUCAACCUGGGAACUGCAUUGGUGACUGGCAGGCUAGAGUAUGGCAGAGGGGGGUAGAAUUCCACGUGUAGCAGUGAAAUGCGUAGAGAUGUGGAGGAAUACCGAUGGCGAAGGCAGCCCCCUGGGCCAAUACUGACGCUCAUGCACGAAGGCGUGGGGAGCAAAACAGGAUUAGAUACCCUGGUAGUCCACGCCCUAAACGAUGUCAACUAGUUGUUGGGGAUUCAUUUCCUUAGUAACGUAGCUAACGCGUGAAGUUGACCGCCUGGGGAGUACGGUCGCAAGAUUAAAACUCAAAGGAAUUGACGGGGUCAUAGCUG